CCUACGGGAGGCAGCAGUGAGGAAUAUUGGUCAAUGGCCGAGAGGCUGAACCAGCCAAGUCGCGUGAGGGAAGACGGCCCUACGGGUUGUAAACCUCUUUUGUCGGGGAGCAAAGCGACCCACGUGUGGUUCAUUGAGAGUACCCGAAGAAAAAGCAUCGACUAACUCCGUGCCAGCAGCCGCGGUAAUACGGAGGAUGCGAGCGUUAUCCGGAUUUAUUGGGUUUAAGGGGUGCGCAGGCGGAGGUGCAAGUCAGCGGUCAAAUUGCGGGGCUCAACCCCGUACUGCCGUUGAAACUGCAGUCCUUGAGUGCGCGAGAAGUAGGCGGAAUGCGUGGUGUAGCGGUGAAAUGCAUAGAUAUCACGCAGAACGCCGAUUGCGAAGGCAGCAUACCGGCGCGCAACUGACGCUCAUGCACGAAAGCGUGGGUAUCGAACAGGAUUAGAUACCCGGGUAGUC
rnacentral:rRNA from 1 species